rnacentral:lncRNA from 1 species
CUGGGCCUAAUACCAAACAGACAUCACAGCCAAGCCUAACAUCUAAGACCUGAGACCCCAACCUAGCCACUUGCCGGGUCUGGGGCACACACUGGUCCGGCGUGCUCUCAGAGGCCGCCGCCGCCAACUGCCACCGUUCCAUCUUCAGAACUGUACUGAUGCAUCAACCUUGCUCGGUCCAGCUAUCGUCGAUGCCACCACGGCGCCCAACGGCACGUCCUCCCUGCGCGCAAAUAGCUGAACACGUCGCGGUCGCCACUGAUACACCUCAGCGCCAUGCUGCCAAGUAUCACCAGCCGACACAACUUGAAGUCCUUGGAGGAUCUGUCGUGUGUAGCACCUGCCGACCAGGCAUGACCACGCGUAGCACCUGUCGGUCAGGCAUGACUUGACAUCUCCACCGAAGCUCCGUGUAAGACGAAGCCGCUCCACCUCCUGCCUCUGACUUCCAGCGCUGCUCCAGAAACGAUGCUCCCAAGCGAGAAACGACACCGCAGUGCCGCCAUCGUCCGAUUUGGAACACCAGAUCCUAGGGUUUCCCCCGGAGCAGCACGACUGGGUCGACAGUAGUUACAUGACGAUGCCUUCAUCAAGGUAACGGGGUAGAACACCGCCAUCGCCUGCCGUCGGCUCGAUUUUCAUCGGCAACCAUGUCUCCGCAACUCGAAGCCGGGACAAGAUGAUGGAUCUCGAGAUCCGAUCACCAAGCUUCUGGUCAGCCACCGCCGGCGAAGAAGAUGACCACCACCACUGGCUACACCGGCCAGAACAGAUCUGCCAUGGAUGCCGCCAAGCAGUCCACCGGGCCCUCGACGCCGCCGCCGAUCUAAAGCCGGAUGAUAUGCCGCCGAAGACCGCAUCGCAUCGCCGCCCGAUCCAGGCCAGCCGCCGCAGCAGCCGCCCGUGGCCCGAGGCAGGGCCAACCGCCGCCGCCGUCGAAGCCAACGCCGUCGCUUCUAGAUCGGCCGCACCUCCACGCAUGUUGGGGUCCCGCCACCCCUGAGACGCGGGAGGGAGGAAGAGCCCCCGCCACCGCCGUCAGCCUCCGGGUGCAAGCCGGCGGCGUCCUCCGGCGGCGGCGGGAGGAGGGGAGGAGGAUGGGCUAGGCCCCGGCGGCGGUUAGGGUUGGGGAGCCCGAGUCGCCUGAGCGGGGGACGACCCGAGCGGCUACAGUUGGGUGUGCUCCAUAUGACAUAGAAAUCUAAGUUCAUCAACAAGUGUAUAUGGUGAAUUCAAGAAGACCUGGGAGUGGAUCUAAUGGUGUCCUAAUAUCAUAAUAUGAACAAAUGGAGUUCUGGGAAAUGCUAACAUUUUCGAACUGCCAACAUGACUGAACGAUUUGUCUUUCUUUGCCUACACUACUAGAGAAAAGCUUACCCGUAGCGCUUGUUUUUGUGCUACCAGUAGCGCGGGUACCAGCGCUACUGCUACAACGCUACAUCUAUUUUCUAGCAGUAGCGUGUUUAUAGGCCAGCGCUACUGGUAAGUUCAACUACUAGUAGCGCGUUUUUAGGCCAGCACUACUGCUAACAUUUAUGUUUUCUUUUUAAUAUUUUGGUGUUGUACAUGUUUAAACAGAUAUAUCUUUUAUACAAUAACAACUCAUCAUGAACUAGUCUGUUUAAAUAGUAUAUUCAUUACCAGUAGUCAUCAUCACCAAACAAUGUUCGUCAAUGGGACAUCAUAUAUAUAACAAGUUGGUCACUAGUCAUAAUCACAACUCCUCAUCCUCCUCAUUAACUCUAACACAUUAUAGCACAUAAUAACACAUUCUACCUAGGACCUACUCCUCUCAUAGGACCUACUCUACCCUCUCUUAGGUAAAAUAUCAUAAAACAAGAUAGCAUUGACUCUUCAUUAAGGAAACUGAACUCUCCAUAAUGAAGAACGGAGAUCAUCCUGUCUCCGAGUCUUGGCCUACGCACAAUGUUGCUUCCAAGUAGCUCUCUACGAUGGUUGAAACAUUUUUUCCAAUCAUUUAUUAUCAUGGCUUCCUCGCUUUUAGAAAUCCGGUAUGGACAGGAGUGAUGUGGAUAGUGUGGCUGACCUGGCCGUGGUGGCCGUAAGCUCAUAACUUCAACGCGACCUCUUGGCAACAUCAGAUGAGGCACACAAUCCAUCGGGAUUUUCUGUUCAAAAACAUAGUAAUAACUUUGUAGUUAGCAAUGUAGUUAGCAAUGUUCAAAGAUGCACGGAUGUCGUAAUAGUAGAAAAUCUUACCAUGAUAUCUCCAUUGAUGUUACCGUAGCACACCGCGUGCACUAGUGGCACAUAUGGACCAUAAUUUUGAGGAAUUCGAUAAUAGCUAUUGUAAUUCUCAAGAUCAGUAAAAAAAGUGAUAAGACCAUCUUUCUCCUUAUAAGUUGAUUGUGCUUCAUCAUUGUAGUAGUAGGUUCUGUCUACCAUCUUCCGUACAUUUUUUGAAGAAUGGAAAUAAGUUGUCAAUGGAAAUAAGCUGUCAAAUAUUUUGAAAUUAACAAUAUAAAUUACUUAGUAAAUAUGUUUAAGAAACUCACACAGCGGUAGAACUGGAAGCUUGUCAACAAGGACCCAAAUGGUCAUAUCAUUUUUGUCGAUGUCAGGAUCACCAAGAUCGAAGGUGAGAAGCAUACCCUCAUGAAAAUCAUACGCCUUGGAAAGGGCUUCCCAAUCCGGGCAACCAAAAUUGGAUGAGUUCACAGAAUUGUAUAGUUUUACAGCAAAAUCAUAACCAUGAUGGGUCCUUAGUUGAAUUAUCUUUGUCUCCGUGCUUUCAUGAUCUUCAAAACCCAUCUUCUCCAAGACAUAGCGUCUUGCAUGGCAUGGGAUAAGCUAGUCGAAUUGUAAAAGACGGAAAUUACACGUUGAAGAAGCAGAGAAGUCUUGCAAAAAUAACAUAAAAAACUUGUCAUUGUUGCGUACCGUAUCAACAUCGAAGGUCUCUUGGAGCUUGAUGCUGAAGCGCCGACCUUCUACCAGGUGAGGCCUGUCGCACAUACCGCGCUUAUCUUCGCAGUAAUCGCACAUAGCGAAUUCCCUUUCGUCGUCAGACAUUUCCUAAUAGGUAAUUAAUAAUCCAUCAUGAAUACAUAUGUAGUAGUUUGUAGCACAAACCGCGCUCAUCUUUUGCAUUCAAUAAGCAAAUAACUAAUAGGUAAUUAAUAAUCCAUCAUCGAAUACAUAUAUAGUAGUUUGUAGCAAAGAUCAUCAUAUAAUAAGACUAAUACAUCUCGAAUAAUAGCUCCUCUAGGUUCAGUGGGCCGCGGUGGACACCCAAAUAGAAGGAACCAUCACUGGAUCAUAGCUCCGGUGAGAUCUCCAAAUAAUCUGCCAGGUAUUGGAGAACCGGCCGUUUGCCAACGCAACCAAGUAGCGCUGGACGUGCGCGUUCUCCUCCGUGACACGGUGUUGAACCACCUGCGUGGGGGACUGAAGCCUCUCCACCGAUGCAGGCCCACGUGACCGCCACCAAAGAAGCUCCGGGUCGACGACGGGUUGGCUCCUCACUAAGCUGCGCUCACGAGAAGGUAGCACAACCCAGUAACAGCCCGGCAGAGCCCAGUCCCGGACAUGGCCCCUCGGCUCAAGCAGGAGUCCUCCGUCGAGUCGACGACGAGGAUGCGGGAUAGGCAUCGUCGACGUCGAGAACAAAAUGCUUAAUUAUGAAAACAAAAUUAAUAAACACUUAGCAAAAUUUGACAUGACCUCUGCUAAAAACAGGACCAAUCGAGCGCCUGAAAUUUGCCAGAACGUAAACGAAUCGACAUUUCUGGCAAAACAUAGGCCACUCGGAAACAUAUGACAUUGUCCAAAAUGUGACAUGUUCAAAAUAUGACAUGUCCACUGCAAAUUUGCAUAAAACAGGAAAAAUUGCUUUAACUAAAAAAAUAACAACAAUUGCUUUAACUAAAAAAAUACCCAGAAUUCUGUUAACUACACCUAAAACAACUAAAACACCUAAAAUUCUUUUAACCACACCUAAAACAACUAAACCACCUAAAAUUCUAUUAACUACACCUAAAACAACUAAAACAACUAAAACACCUAAAACAAAUUCAACAUUAUUCUAAGAACACCUACAUUAUUCUAAGAACCUACCUUUUUAACUAAAACAGCUACAAAUUUAACUAAAACACCUAAAAAUUCAACUAAAGCACCUACAUUAUUUAACUAAAACACCUACAAAUUCAACUAAAACACCUAAAAAUUAACUACUCUCUAAUAACUAUAACUAGGGAGGGAGGGAGGAGGAGGAAGGAGGGAGGAGUAUACCUCUCGGUGGAGGAGGGCCNNNNNNNNNNNNNNNNNNNNNNNNNNNNNNNNNNNNNNNNNNNNNNNNNNNNNNNNNNNNNNNNNNNNNNNNNNNNNNNNNNNNNNNNNNNNNNNNNNNNNNNNNNNNNNNNNNNNNNNNNNNNNNNNNNNNNNNNNNNNNNNNNNNNNNNNNNNNNNNNNNNNNNNNNNNNNNNNNNNNNNNNNNNNNNNNNNNNNNNNNNNNNNNNNNNNNNNNNNNNNNNNNNNNNNNNNUAGGACGCGGGGGCGGCGGACGGAUCGGGGGACGACUGGGAUUCGAUCUGGUGUGAGCGUGUGAGUGUGAGUGAGGGGAGGGGUGGUGCGCGGGCUGGCGCGGGGGGAAGCAGAGAGGUGGGCUUAGCGGCAGUGCGGGGUAGGUGGCCCAGCGCUAUAGCUAAAGCUGCAACGGGGGCCCGAGAGCGUGGCCCAUUAGCAGUAGCGCUGGCUGUGAAAUCCAGCGCUACUGCUAACAUGCACUUGUAGCGCUUGUGCUGGCCGGAGCUACUGCUAAAUAGCAGUAGCGAUGAGUAUCUAACCAACGCUACUACUAAAUGUCUACCUAUAAGCAUUUUCCUAGUAGUGCUAUAUGAUUAACACACAUAAAAUGAUUAUGAAUUUGGAGGUUGCUCUUACUAGAACCUUGAAACAAUGGUAUUGUCAAGGUGCUGGGAGUUAAAAAGUAUGAUUCACUUUUUUUCACACAUCUUCUUUGGCCACACCCUAAGCCUGUUAUACGUCUUCAUGUUCUUCAAUGGACAAAACAGAUAAUAAAAAGAAAGGGAAGGGAAAAUAGUAGUUCUCGUAAGAUGUGUAUAUCAUCAAUUGGUCCAUGCCUCGUAUGUCUGCGAGAUAUUGGAUUUUAAGUUGAUUACCUGAUAUAUGUCUCUUGUUUUUAAAUACUGCAUUUUUAUAGAAGGAUGACCCCCGGCCUCUGCAUCUGGACGAUGCAUACGACCACUUUAUUAAUUAUUCUCAUAAGACUUUACAAAGUCAUAGAACAGUAAAACUAAAGUCGCCGUCUAAGCAAAAAAUUGUCGCUACACCUAUCCAGUUGAUGAAGGGGCACAAAUAGCCCGUGCCUAAUACCAAACAGACAUCGCAACCAAGCCUAACAUCUAAGACCUGAGACCCCAACCUAGCCACUUGCCGGGUCUAGGGCACACACUAGUCUGGCGUGCCCUCAGAGGCCGCCGCCACCAACUACCACCGCUCCAUCUUCAGAACUGUACUAAUGCAUCAACCUUGCUCGGUCUAGCUAUCAUCGGCGCCACCACGACGCCCAACGGCACCUCCUCCAUGCAUGCAAACAGCUCAGCAUGUCGCGGUCGCCAUUGAUACACCUCAGUGCCAUGCUGCCAGGUAUCACAAGCCGACACAGCUUGAAGUCCUUGGAAGAUCUGUCGUGCGUAGCACCUGCUGACCAGGCAUGACAAAGCGUAGCACCUGUCGGCCAGGCAUGCUCGACAUCUCCAUCGAAGCUCCGUGCAAGAGGAAGCCACUCCACCUCCUGCCUCUGACUUCCAGCGCUGGUCCACAAACGAUGCUCCCAGGAGAGAAAUGACACCGCAGUGCCGCCAUCGUCCGAUCUGGAACACCAGAUCCUAGGGUUUCCCCCGGAGCAAAAGGAGUGGGUCGACAGUAGUUACACGACGAUGCCUUCAUCAAGGUAACGGGGUAGAACGCCGCCAUCGCCUGCCGUCGGCUCGGUUUUCAUCGGCAACCAUGUCUCCGCAACUCGCAGCCGGGACAAGAUGAUGGAUCUCGAGAUCCGAUCACCAAGCUUCUGGCCGGCCACCGCCGACGAAGAAGAUGACCACCACCACUGGCUACACCGGCCAUAACAGAUCUGCCAUGGAUGCCGCCAAGCAGUCCACCAGGCCCUCCACGCUGCCGCCAAUCUAAAGCCAUAUGACAUGCCGCCGAAGACCGCAUCGCACCGCCGCCCGAUCUAGGCCAGCCGCCGUCGCAGCCGCCCGUGGGCCGAGGCAGGGCCGACCGCAGCCGCCGUCGAAGCCAACACCGUCGCUUCUAGAUCGGCCGCACCUCCACGCAUGUUGGGGUCUCGCCACCCCUGUGACGCGUGAGGGAGGAAGAUCUCCCGUCACCGCCGUCGGCCUCCGGGCGCAAGCUGGCGGCGUCCUCCGGCGGCAGCGGGAGGAGGGGAGGAGGAUGGGCUAGGCCUCGGCGGCGGCUAGAGUUGGGGAGCUCGAGUCGCCCGAGCGGGGGACGACCCGAGCGGCUAGAGUUGGGUGUGCUCCAUAUGACAUAGAAAUCUAAGUUCAUCAACAAGUGUAUAUGGUGAAUUCAAGAAGACCUGGGAGUGGAUCUAAUGGUGUCCUAAUAUCAUAAUAAGAACAAAUGGAGUUCUGGGAAAUGCUAACAUUUUCGAACUGCCAACAUGACUGAACGAUUUGUCUUUCUUUGCCUAUAUGAUUAACAUACAUAAAAUGAUUAUGAAUUUGGAGGUUGCUCUUACUAGAACCUUGAAACAAUGGUAUUGUCAAGGUGCUGGGAGUUAAAAAGUAUGAUUCACUUUUUUCCGCACAUCUUCUUUGGCUACACCCUAGGUCUGUUAUACGUCUUCAUGUUCUUCAAUGGACAAAACAGAUAAUAAAAAGAAGGGGAAGGGAAAAUAGUAGUUCUCGUAAGAUGUGUAUAUCAUCAAUUGGUCCAUGCAUCGUAUGUCUGCGAGAUAUUGGAAUUUAAGUUGAUUACCUGAUAUAUGUCUCUUGUUUUUAAAUACUGUAUUUUUCUUAAAAAAGGAGGAUGACCCCCGGCCUCUGCAUCUGGACGAUGCAUACGAACACUUUAUUAGUUAUUCUCAUAAGACCUUACAGAGUCAUACCACAGUAAGACUAAAGCCGCCGUCUAAGCAAAAAAUUGUCGCUACACCUAUCCAGUUGAUGAAAGGGCGCAGAUAGCCCGGGCCUAAUACCAAAUAGACAUCGCAGACAAGCCUAACAUCUAAGACCUGAGACCCCAACCUAGCCACUUGCCGGGUCUGGGGCACACACUGGUCCGGCGUGCUCUCAGAGGCCGCCGCCACCAACUGCCACCGCUCCAUCUUCAGAACUGUACUGAUGCAUCAACCUUGCUCGGUCUAGCUAUCGUCGGCGUCACCACGGCGCCCAACGGCACCUCCUCCCUGCGCGCAAACAGCUGAGCACGUCGCGGUCGCCAUUGAUACACCUCAACGCCAUGCUGCCAGGUAUCACAAGCCGACACAACUUGAAGUCCUUGGAAGAUCUGUCGUGCGUAGCACCUGCCGACCAGGCAUGACAAAGCGUAGCACCUGUCGGCCAGGCAUGCUCGACAUCUCCAUCGAAGCUCCGUGCAAGAGGAAGCCACUCCAUCUCCUGCCUCUGACUUCCAGCGCUGCUCCGCAAACGAUGCUCCCAGGAGAGAAAUGACACCGCAGUGCCGCCAUCGUCCGAUCUGGAACACCAGAUCCUAGGGUUUCCCCCGGAGCAAAAGGAGUGGGUCGACAGUAGUUACACGACGAUGCCUUCAUCAAGGUAACGGGGUAGAACGCCGCCAUCGCCUGCCGUCGGCUCGGUUUUCAUCGGCAACCAUGUCUCCGCAACUCGCAGCCGGGACAAGAUGAUGGAUCUCGAGAUCCGAUCACCAAGCUUCUGGCCGGCCACCGCCGACGAAGAAGAUGACCACCACCACUGGCUACACCGGCCAUAACAGAUCUGCCAUGGAUGCCGCCAAGCAGUCCACCAGGCCCUCGACGCUGCCGCCAAUCUAAAGCCAUAUGACAUGCCGCCGAAGACCGCAUCGCACCGCCGCCCGAUCUAGGCCAGCCGCCGUCGCAGCCGCCCGUGGGCCGAGGCAGGGCCGACCGCAGCCGCCGUCGAAGCCAACACCGUCGCUUCUAGAUCGGCCGCACCUCCACGCAUGUUGGGGUCUCGCCACCCCUGUGACGCGUGAGGGAGGAAGAUCUCCCGUCACCGCCGUCGGCCUCCGGGCGCAAGCUGGCGGCGUCCUCCGGCGGCAGCGGGAGGAGGGGAGGAGGAUGGGCUAGGCCUCGGCGGCGGCUAGAGUUGGGGAGCUCGAGUCGCCCGAGCGGGGGACGACCCGAGCGGCUAGAGUUGGGUGUGCUCCAUAUGACAUAGAAAUCUAAGUUCAUCAACAAGUGUAUAUGGUGAAUUCAAGAAGACCUGGGAGUGGAUCUAAUGGUGUCCUAAUAUCAUAAUAUGAACAAAUGGAGUUCUGGGAAAUGCUAACAUUUUCGAACUGCCAACAUGACUGAACGAUUUGUCUUUCUUUGCCUAUAUGAUUAACAUACAUAAAAUGAUUAUGAAUUUGGAGGUUGCUCUUACUAGAACCUUGAAACAAUGGUAUUGUCAAGGUGCUGGGAGUUAAAAAGUAUGAUUCACUUUUUUCCGCACAUCUUCUUUGGCUACACCCUAGGUCUGUUAUACGUCUUCAUGUUCUUCAAUGGACAAAACAGAUAAUAAAAAGAAGGGAAGGGAAAAUAGUAGUUCUCGUAAGAUGUGUAUAUCAUCAAUUGGUCCAUGCAUCGUAUGUCUGCGAGAUAUUGGAAUUUAAGUUGAUUACCUGAUAUAUGUCUCUUGUUUUUAAAUAUUGCAUUUUUCUUAAAAAAGGAGGAUGACCCCCGGCCUCUGCAUCUGGACGAUGCAUACGAACACUUUAUUAAUUAUUCUCAUAAGACCUUACAGAGUCAUACAACAGUAAGACUAAAGCCGCCGUCUAAGCAAAAAAUUGUCGCUACACCUAUCCAGUUGAUGAAAGGGCGCAGAUAGCUCGGGCCUAAUACCAAAUAGACAUCGCAGCCAAGCCUAACAUCUAAGACCUGAGACCCCAACCUAGCCACUUGCCGGGUCUGGGGCACACACUGGUUCGGCGUGCUCUCAGAGGCCGCCGCCACCAACUGCCACCGCUCCAUCUUCAGAACUGUACUGAUGCAUCAACCUUGCUCGGUCUAGCUAUCGUCGGCGUCACCACGGCGCCCAACG